rnacentral:rRNA from 1 species
GCUAAUCCCACUAAAGAGUCCUUAUCAAUAGUGGGGGUUGGCACCUCGAUGUUGGCUUAGGGAAACUAUGCGGCGCAAAAGUCACAUAAAGAUGGUUUGUUCAACCAAUAAAUCCCUACAUGAGCUGAGUUCAGACCGGCGUAAGCCAGGUUAGUUUCUAUCCUCGAUAUAUUAAUUCUACUUAUAGUACGAAAGGACCUAAGUAAGGGUAAUACUUACAAGUAACGAAUAAAUAUAAAGAAUAUUUAACUAUAUUAUUCACACCAUAUG